rnacentral:rRNA from 1 species
UUUUAUUUGAGAGUUUGAUCCUGGCUCAGGAUGAACGCUGGCGGCGUGCCUAACACAUGCAAGUUGAGCGAUUUACGUCGGUAAAGAGCGGCGGACGGGUGAGUAACGCGUGGGUAACCUACCCUGUACACACGGAUAACAUACCGAAAGGUAUGCUAAUACGGGAUAAUAUAUUUGAGAGGCAUCUCUUGAAUAUCAAAGGUG